rnacentral:snoRNA from 1 species
GUUCCAAUGAUGAUUUCAAGACCUAGCAAUAGGAAGUGUCGUUUGUCACUGUAAACAGCAGCUGCUUCUUCAACUGCUUCACGUGUCUAUCUCUCGAUCAUAACCAAUUUGGUCUAGGAUACAACCCCAUCUGUAGUUGUUGGAUUCAGUUGUGGUGUGAUUUAAAUCGUAUCUAUGCAAAU